UUCAUUCUAGUCUUUAAUUAAAAGACAAAUGAUUAUGCUACCUUAGCACAGUAUGAGC
rnacentral:tRNA from 1 species